GCAUCUGUGCAUGCAGCAUAUCAAUAAGCGGAGGAAAAGAAACUAACAAGGAUUCCCCUAGUAACGGCGAGUGAAGCGGGAAGAGCUCAAAUUUGAAAUCUUAAAGGGUUUCCCUUUACGAAUUGUAGUUUAAAGAAGUGUUUUCUGUUGAGGUUUUGGUAAAAGUUCUUUGGAAUAGGACAUCAUAGAGGGUGAGAAUCCCGUAUUUGACCUUUACUUUCAACUUUGUGAUACACUUUCAAAGAGUCGGAUUGUUUGGGAAUGCAGUCCAAAAUGGGUGGUAAAUUUCAUCUAAAGCUAAAUAUUGGCGAGAGACCGAUAGCGAACAAGUACCGUGAGGGAAAGAUGAAAAGAACUUUGAAAAGAGAGUUAAACAGUACGUGAAAUUGUCAAAAGGGAAGCGUUUGACACCAGUGUUGUUUUUCUGAAAAUCAAUUAAAGAACUGUUUAUGCUAAGUUGUUUAGACUUUAUCAGCUAACUGUUUAGUUUUGAGCUUUUCUUUAAUGCACUUCUCAGUUAACAAGUCAACAUCAAUUUCUUUUGCUGUAAAAAAGCUUGAGGAAGGUGGCUUGAGAUUCGUCUUAAGUGUUUAUAGCCUCUUGCCUAUGCAGUCGGAGAGAUUGAGGUCUGCAGCGUAGAUCCUUCGGGGCUAAAUGCAUUUGUGCUAAGUUAUAGCAUUUUAUAGACAACUUGUUGACUAUGAUUUGUCUUGUAGCUUACUCGCUUAUGUUAUUUUACCUACGCUUAGGAUGUUGAGCGCAUGUCUCUCUCU
rnacentral:rRNA from 1 species